UACAGAGGGUGCGAGCGUUGUUCGGAAUUAUUGGGCGUAAAGGGCGCGUAGGCGGUGCGGUAAGUCACCUGUGAAAUCUCCUGGCUCAACUGGGAGCUUGCAGGCGAAACUGCCGUGCUGGAGUGUGGGAGAGGUGCGUGGAAUUCCUGGUGUAGCGGUGAAAUGCGUAGAUAUCUGGAGGAACACCGGUGGCGAAGGCGACAUCCUGGACCGGUAUUGACGCUGAGGCGCGAAAGCCAGGGGAGCAAACGGG
rnacentral:rRNA from 1 species